rnacentral:rRNA from 1 species
AGUGAACGCUGGCGGUAGGCCUAACACAUGCAAGUCGAACGGCAGCACAGUAAGAGCUUGCUCUUACGGGUGGCGAGUGGCGGACGGGUGAGGAAUACAUCGGAAUCUACUUUUUCGUGGGGGAUAACGUAGGGAAACUUACGCUAAUACCGCAUACGACCUACGGGUGAAAGCAGGGGAUCUUCGGACCUUGCGCGAUUGAAGGAGCCGAUGUCGGAUUAGCUAGUUGGCGGGGUAAAGGCCCACCAAGGCGACGAUCCGUAGCUGGUCUGAGAGGAUGAUCAGCCACACUGGAACUGAGACACGGUCCAGACUCCUACGGGAGGCAGCAGUGGGGAAUAUUGGACAAUGGGCGCAAGCCUGAUCCAGCCAUACCGCGUGGGUGAAGAAGGCCUUCGGGUUGUAAAGCCCUUUUGCUGGGAAAGAAAAGCAGCAGGUUAAUACCCCGCUGUUCUGACGGUACCCAAAGAAUAAGCACCGGCUAACUUCGUG